ACUCGGAAUGAUUAUAAACAGUGCAUUUGCAAAAUUAAUGUUUAUUAAAGUAUGGUUUCAGCCAGUAUGCUACCGUCGGGGAAUUUACAACCCCCGGGGAAGUUGUCUCCGUAUUGGAAGAAGAAGGUGAAGUACUUCUAUUUAUAGAUCCCAUUCACGCCCAUAUAUACGUGUAUGUUAUUCCGGUAUUCCCAAUAACAGUCUGUGCUUACCGGAUGUAACUCUUCCUGGAAUGAUUAAAGAGUAUCUGUGCCAUGAUCAUGUGUGACGUAAAGCUUGUCUCGUGUGAUUACUUACCAGGAAUCGGAAUUAUCUCUAAAUCUUACCUGCGUACGGAAUGUGUACAAAAUAUAUAAACGAUGCGGAUUACGGACUCGGAGAACAUUGCACAUUAGAGUAACCUCCCUUGCACCGCGAACUUUGUGGAUCAUGACACUAAGAACUACUUCCCAUAUUAGGUCAGCAUACAUGCAGUAUAUAACCAUCAUAUUUAUGACAAGUAGUUGAUGUCAGUGAAUGACUGGUGCUGAUCAUUAAUUGGCAAAAACUUUUAAAUGAAAAUUUGAGAAAAGUUUACGAGCCGACGAACGUUUGGAGUGAAUGGCAACGCACGUGCACAGGUAACCGGAUCCACACCUGGAAUAAGUCUACACGGAUAAAUCCAUGUUUUAUGACUGCAGUGUGGCUACAGAUAAUCUGGAUCAAUUGAUAGACCAUGGACAAGCUUUGUUCCCCAUGGAAAUACUUAAUAUUUUCUAUUACAAUUGUAAAUUGCCUGCAUCCAGGGGCAUGUUGGUUUAUGUGGACAAAACGGUUCGUCAGCUUUCAAAUGUAAUACUUCAAACACGACUCUUGACGGACCUGCAAAUGUUAAUACAGGCCUUGGAAGUCUUUGC